rnacentral:rRNA from 1 species
GAAAGGCGUGCGGAACAUGUCGGAUGCGAUCAUACCAGCACUAAAGCACCGGAUCCCAUCAGAACUCCGCAGUUAAGCGUGCUUGGGCGAGAGUAGUACUAGGAUGGGUGACCUCCCGGGAAGUCCUCGUGUUGCAUCCC